rnacentral:rRNA from 1 species
UUGCGGGCUAGGGGGGAGGGUCGCAGAGGCCAGGGGGAAGCGACUGUUUACUAAAAACACAGGUCCGUGCGAAGCCGUAAGGCGAUGUAUACGGACUGACGCCUGCCCGGUGCUGGAAGGUUAAGAGGAACCAUCAACCCUCGGGUGAAGUGGUGAAUUUAAGCCCCAGUAAACGGCGGUGGUAACUAUAACCAUCCUAAGGUAGCGAAAUUCCUUGUCGGGUAAGUUCCGACCUGCACGAAUGGCGUAACGACUUCCCCGCUGUCUCAACCAUGAGCUCGGCGAAAUUGCAGUACGAGUAAAGAUGCUCGUUUCGCGCAGAAGGACGGAAAGACCCCGGGACCUUUACUACAGCUUGGUAUUGGCGCCCGCUAUAGCUUGUGCAGGAUAGGUGGGAGACUGUGAAGCCGUUACGCCAGUGGCGGUGGAGUCGUCCUUGAAAUACCACUCUGGUUAUGGCGUGCGCCUGAACCUGGGCCCGUGAUCCGGGUUAGGGACAGUGCCUGGUGGGUAGUUUAACUGGGGCGGUUGCCUCCUAAAGUGUAACGGAGGCGCUCAAAGGUUCCCUCAGCCUGGUCGGCAACCAGGUGUUGAGUGCAAGUGCACAAGGGAGCUUGACUGUGAGACCGACGGGUCGAGCAGGUACGAAAGUAGGAACUAGUGAUCCGGCGAUCCCGUGUGGGUGGGUCGUCGCUCAACGGAUAAAAGGUACCCCGGGGAUAACAGGCUGAUCCUGCCCAAGAGUCCAUAUCGACGGCAUGGUUUGGCACCUCGAUGUCGGCUCGUCGCAUCCUGGGGCUGGAGCAGGUCCCAAGGGUUGGGCUGUUCGCCCAUUAAAGCGGUACGCGAGCUGGGUUUAGAACGUCGUGAGACAGUUCGGUCCCUAUCCUCUGCGCGCGCAGGAGACUUGAGAAGGCCUGUCCCUAGUACGAGAGGACCGGGACGAGAUCGG